AACGAACGCUGGCGGCAUGCCUAACACAUGCAAGUCGAACGAGACCUUCGGGUCUAGUGGCGCACGGGUGCGUAACGCGUGGGAACCUGCCCUUAGGUUCGGAAUAACUCCCCGAAAUGGGUGCUAAUACCGGAUAAUGUCUUCGGACCAAAGAUUUAUCGCCUUUGGAUGGGCCCGCGUUGGAUUAGCUAGUUGGUAGGGUAAAAGCCUACCAAGGCGACGAUCCAUAGCUGGUCUGAGAGGAUGAUCAGCCACACUGGGACUGAGACACGGCCCAGACUCCUACGGGAGGCAGCAGUGGGGAAUAUUGGACAAUGGGCGAAAGCCUGAUCCAGCAAUGCCGCGUGAGUGAUGAAGGCCUUAGGGUUGUAAAGCUCUUUUACCCGGGAUGAUAAUGACAGUACCGGGAGAAUAAGCACCGGCUAACUCCGUG
rnacentral:rRNA from 1 species